AAACGUUGGGGGGCGUUCGAGGCUGUCACGGGAGGCGGAGGACACGGCACCAAAGUGACACUUGAUAGAUAUGUCUCUCACGGUGGAAAUACGGCUAAAGAGGCCAAGCCGGAUAUACCACGAGGGUGAUAUUGUCAGUGGUCUCUUAGUCCUUGACAGCAAAUCAGAGAUUCGGCACGAUGGCAUUACCCUGACAAUGGAAGGUGUAAUAAGCUUACAACUGUCCCCAAAGAGUGCAGGUUUAAUCGAGUCUAUUGUCAACUCAUCCAAGCCAAUCAGUAUCAUAAACACUGUAAUAGAGGUGGCAAAAUCAGGCAAAAUCCCAUCUGGCCAGACAGAAAUACCCUUUGAGCUCCCCCUAAAGGUUCGAGGCUCGAAGACUCUCUAUGAGACUUACCAUGGGGUGUACAUAACAAUACAGUACUUCUUAAGGUGUGAUAUUAAGAGGAGCCUGUUAGCGAAAGAUGUUACAAAGGCACAGGAGUUCAUUGUAGAGUACAAGCAAGGCGUAGGAGAGGUAGCCCAGCCAGGCUUGAUAAACUUUGAAAUGAGGCCUGAGACUCUGCCGAAUGUAAGAGACCGAGCCCGCAUCCCAAAGUUUCUGGUGCGAGGACACCUAGACUCGGAAGUGUUCUCGCUUUCCAAACCACUGACUGGAGAACUCACCGUGUGCGAGUGUGAGAGAGGAAUUAGCAGCAUUGAGCUCCAGCUUGUCCGAGUAGAAACGUGUGGAUCAGCCGAAGGAAACACAAGAGAAACAACAGAAAUUCAGAACAUCCAGAUUGGAGAAGGUGAUGUAUGUCGAGGAAUCGCCAUACCCAUUUACAUGGUCUUUCCAAGAUUAUUUACUUGCGCGACAACUGUUGCCCCCAAUUUUAAAAUAGAAUUUGAACUGAACAUUGUCAUUAUAUUUGACAAUGAUCAUCUAGUUGUUGAAACUUUUCCCAUUAAACUUACACGUCACUGAGGCACAGAGGAUCAUUUUUACCUGGUAUGUUGAAAGGCUUAUAUACGAAUAGCUAAACAUUUUGCCAAAGUAAUUUCAUAAUUUGAUGUUAUACUGAUCUUGUUUAUCAUUGGAACACUGCCGUUCAGAAUUGAGGAGGUGCACUCUUUUGGACUUUGCCAUGCCUACCUGAUUAAAUGUAAAUUAAAUGCUAAAACAUGUGAUGUGGUCUAGCUUAGGGGUAGGAACCCCCCCCCUCCAUACACAAGUAUAUAUCCUUUUAAUUUUCAAGUGUUUUUACAUGUUGAUUGAGGAGUUUGAUUAGUUUAUUGUACACAUUCCACUUUAAAUUGGUUAUGUAAUGGAUAAUGAUGUAGUAAUUUGGGUCAUUAUUUUAGUGGGGUAGAAACAAGAAUUAUCUGUAUAGGUAAAUGUAUUUUUUAUAUUUCAAAAUUAUCCCAUAUAUAUAUAUUUAUAUAUGUAAAAGUACUUUAUAUUUACUGUACUGUGUAUUUCUUUGAGAAAAAAUUAGUUCAGCGCAAUUAUGAUUGAAGAAAAAAUACAGAUGAAUAAAUUUGAAGGAAAAAUACUUUUUGUAAAAAUUGGUGAUUAUCAUAUGUACCCAAAUGAACUGUGAUAUAAUAUGCACUAAGCAUAAGAUAUGUUAAUAUAUGAAUUCAAGACGGGGAGAUAUUUGCCAAAAUAAAGAAAUAAUUUUUUCCCCCAAUUUUCCUUACCUAUAAUUUCCAGUCAUUUGCUUUGGAAACUUUAAGGCAGAUACUAUAUUUUUCAUUUUAUUUUUCACUCAGGUUUUACAAUUUUCUCUUAUAUGUAGGAAUAUAAAAGUACCAUUCAUAAUAUACAGUGCCACAGUAUAAUGCAGAAAUAUAAUGUAUCUUAUUACAUUCCAAGCAACCAGAUCCUAUUAUGAGUGUAGUACUAUUGAUACAGAUAAACCUACUAGUGUAAUUAGAUCAAAACAAGACUAACAUGCAAACAAUACUUCAGUAUAAGUAUUAUAGACCACAAUUUAUAUCACCUUUGUGAAAACUAUGUACAAAAGUAUUUGCCAAUAAAAAUAAAACCUUUUUUGUAUAAAUUCAGGUACAAGAGUAUAGCUACAAAUAAAUUUGACUCCUUA
rnacentral:misc_RNA from 1 species